UGGUUGUCGUCAGCUCGUGUCGUGAGAUGUUGGGUUAAGUCCCGCAACGAGCGCAACCCUCGACCUUAGUUGCCAGCAUUCAGUUGGGCACUCUAAGGUGACUGCCGGCUAAAAGUCGGAGGAAGGUGGGGAUGACGUCAAAUCAUCAUGCCCCUUAUGACCUGGGCUACACACGUGCUACAAUGGGCGGUACAAAGGGUCGCGAACCCGCGAGGGGGAGCCAAUCCCAAAAAGCCGCUCUCAGUUCGGAUUGCAGGCUGCAACUCGCCUGCAUGAAGCCGGAAUCGCUAGUAAUCGCGGAUCAGCAUGCCGCGGUGAAUACGCUCCCGGGCCUU
rnacentral:rRNA from 1 species